rnacentral:misc_RNA from 1 species
GAACUGCGAUAAGUAGUGUGAAUUGCAGAAUUCAGUGAAUCAUCGAGUCUUUGAACGCACAUUGCGCCCCCUGGCAUUCCGGGGGGCAUGCCUGUCCGAGCGUCAUUGCUACCCUCAAGCACGGCUUGUGUGUUGGGCCGCCGUCCGCCCCGCUCCGCGGGGGGGACGCGCCCGAAAGGCAGCGCCGGCCGGUCCCACGGAGCGGGUGACGAAGCCCCAUACGCUCGAGGACCGGACGCGGUGCCGGCGCCAGGCUUCGUCAACCACUUCUUUUCUAGGUUGACCUCGGAUCAGGUAGGGAUACCCGCUGAACUUAA